rnacentral:tRNA from 1 species
CACGGGGUGGAGCAGCCCGGUAGCUCGUCAGGCUCAUAACCUGAAGGUCGUAGGUUCAAAUCCUACCCCCGCAACCA